rnacentral:rRNA from 1 species
GACGAACGCUGGCGGCGUGCUUAACACAUGCAAGUCGAACGGAAAGGCCCUGCUAUUGUGGGGUGCUCGAGUGGCGAACGGGUGAGUAACACGUGAGUAACCUGCCCUUGACUUUGGGAUAACUUCAGGAAACUGGGGCUAAUACUGGAUAGGAGCUCCUGCUGCAUGGUGGGGGUUGGAAAGUUUCGGCGGUUGGGGAUGGACUCGCGGCUUAUCAGCUUGUUGGUGGGGUAGUGGCUUACCAAGGCUUUGACGGGUAGCCGGCCUGAGAGGGUGACCGGGCGGGCGGCCGGCGGGGGUGAGAGUGGCGAAUGGGGCGUGGGACCGGGCCUGGGGCGGGGAGGCGGCGUGAGUGGGGAAGGGGGAGGGAGGGGCGGACGCCUGAGGGAGCGAGGCGGGGUGGGGGGCGACGGCGGUCGGGUUGGAACGCGCUUUCGCCUGUGACGAGGCGUGAGUGGCGGUGAGGGGAAAGGAAGCGCCGGCUAACGACGUGCCAGCAGCCGCGGGAAUAAUGGGAAGAGCACACGUCUGAUC